UGCCAGAGCCUAAACUUUACAAACUCUUUAAGAUUAACCUUUAUUUAAUGUUUUUAUUUUGGAUUUCUUUGUUGAUAUUCUGUCUCUCUCUGUUAAAAUAAACUUAUCAUGAAAAUGAUAGACUGUUCAUGCCUUUGUAAGGGUGAACAUACAAAUUCAGCAGGGGAUCAAAUCAUUAUUUUCCCCACUGUCGAUUAUUUGCUUUGGAUAACUUUUGUCCACAUGUUUUUCAUUAUUGAUAUGACUCCAUUACAUUUUAUAGGUUCUGUUCAAAUUUAAAAAGCUGCUAAAUGAGCAGUAAUGAAUGUACCUGGAAAAAAUAGCACUCUUAUCUGUGCAUUGAACGUGACACCCAGUGACCAGCCUUGGUGCAUUUUGUACAAGCAAAGACUGAAGCAGGAGCCUCAGCAAGUAGGAACAGUGCAAACAAAUAAACAGGACAUAUUUUCUUCUCCAUUCAACAACUCCAAAGUUACAAUGAUGUGGAUUACUAGCACAAAUGUUUUGCCUAUUCAAAAUGCUAAAACACAUGAUGAAGGAACUUAUUUCUGUGGAAUACCAGAAGCAACAAGGGUUCACUUUUUCUCUUAUACCUUCGUCAAUGUGACAGUAAGACCUCAACAAGUUAUUAUGAUGGAGAAAACCACCAGUCAGUCACAUGAUGCUGAAGAGUUGAAUUAUGC